UGGUAAGACUGGUAACUGUUUGGAAUAGC
rnacentral:piRNA from 1 species